UUCUUUCUUUUCCACUUUGUUUUCUAGAGUUUCUACUAUUUCAUGCAGCUACCAGCACUUGGCAUCAGUAGCAAAGGUACACUCUACACUCUUCGGAGGGUUCUUGCGCGUAUGGAGCCAGCGUGAUCCACCGUGAUCGCAUGUUAGGGUGUGGCCACUGAGAGAGUGAGAGAGAGAGAGGGAAUAUUCUAGUCCUUAGAAUAUUCCCCAUCUUCCUUGUAUAAAACCCGUGCCUCACA
rnacentral:lncRNA from 1 species